rnacentral:hammerhead_ribozyme from 1 species
ACUGCUGACGAGUCCCAAAUGGGGCGAAACGCGCGUCCUGGAU